rnacentral:rRNA from 1 species
UACGAAGGGGGCUAGCGUUGUUCGGAGUUACUGGGCGUAAAGGGCGCGUAGGCGGCGCAUCAAGUCAGGCGUGAAAGCCCUGGGCUCAACCUCGGGUCUGCAGUCGAUACGAGCAAACUAGAGUGUUGCAGGGGAGACUGGAAUUCCUGGUGUAGCGGUGAAAUGCGCAGAUAUCAGGAGGAACACCGGUGGCGAAGGCGGCGACCUGGUCCUUGACUGACGCUGAGGCGCGAAAGCGUGGGGAGCAAGACGG